ACAGGAACAGGGGAGAUGUUGAGGAACAUCAAUUGGAGAGAGGAUGAGGAGCAGCAAAUGACUGUGAACAAGUAAGAUGAAAGCCUCACAGAAUCAGCAAACCUUAAUUAAUAAAGAAGAAAACUCACUUGUCUGGAGAUAAAAGAACAAUGGUGAGCAGCAGGAAUUUCAGCAUUGAUGGGCGUCUCAGAUAAUAUAACCAUCCAGUGAAGUGAACACAAAAUAAUCCAUUGGAACAAUUUACAGCUUGAGUGACAACUCCUAGUAGUCGUAGAUGUUAAAUACUAAACAAAACUGAGAGCUACCACAGUAUCUGUCCAGAUAAUACUGAUUGUGAAUAUGUCUAGAGGCUGCAUAAAUUCACCAGGUAUCAUAAUAUGGAUUCAUUAUGCUUGUUGGUCAAUGCUCUGUGAACACUGUAAAGGAAGUAAAACAUGAUAUGGACAGCUGCAAUGGAGACAACAAAGCAGCUGUGGUCAACAGGAAGGGACAUAGCAGACACUCUGACUGUGUCCACACAGUGGAAUUAAUUUAACAACCGAAGAACAGGGCCUUAAGCUCAGUUCAGGCAGCUAUGUGAAGUGAUUAUAGUUUGUGGUCAAUCCCUGGUGUGAAGGGUGCUGGUGGAAGACCAUAUGUGUGGCAGCAGGAUUUGGCUCCUUACAAUACUUCCAGAGAAUGUCAGAAGUGGUUGGCAACAAAGUAAUCUUCAUAUAAUCAAGAUACUCUUGGUCUGAAGAGUAGCCGCGGUAUACACCUUGCUUGGAUAUUUACCACUUCCAAGGUUCUGCUCGCUAUUAAACAUAUGUAGUCCAGAUCUCAUCUACUUCAUUCCUUAAUUCUUGUAUUCUCAUUUGCAUACCUGGCAACCCUGGUUGGGUUGCCUAUGGUGAAAUAUAAAAUAAUUUUUCCCAGCUUAUCAUACUUCGAUAAGGGAAAAGUUCACAACCUUCCAUGCCAACAAACCGCUAUUGUUCCUGAAGACUGUUUUUCUUAUAUUUUCUAUGGAUUACCUGGAGCUCACUUUCUUCCUGCACUUUGAUCCUUGGAUCUUACAUUUCUCUCUCU